rnacentral:rRNA from 1 species
GAUGAACGCUGGCGGCGUGCCUAAUACAUGCAAGUCGAGCGAACAGAUGAGGAGCUUGCUCCUCUGACGUUAGCGGCGGACGGGUGAGUAACACGUGGAUCACCUACCUAUAAGACUGGGAUAACUUCGGGAAACCGGAGCUAAUACCGGAUAAUAUAUUGAACCGCAUGGUUCAAUAGUGAAAGACGGUUUUGCUGUCACUUAUAGAUGGAUCCGCGCCGCAUUAGCUAGUUGGUAAGGUAACGGCUUACCAAGGCAACGAUGCGUAGCCGACCUGAGAGGGUGAUCGGCCACACUGGAACUGAGACACGGUCCAUACUCCUACGGGAGGCAGCAGUAGGGAAUCUUCCGCAAUGGGCGAAAGCCUGACGGAGCAACGCCGCGUGAGUGAUGAAGGUCUUCGGAUCGUAAAACUCUGUUAUUAGGGAAGAACAAAUGUGGAAGUAACUAUGCACGUCUUGACGGUACCUAAUCAGAAAGCCACGGCUAACUACGUG